UUUAAACUACUUUCCAAGCCCUUUUGAAGAAAAGGUACCUUUUCCUCUUUUUGAUAAAAAAAGAGAGAGAUCCAUAUGUUAAUCUAGAGCGAGAGAAAGCCAACUGAGAAUAGGAUCUUUCACUGAUUAACAAAUAAAGACCAAAAAACGAGCAGAAAUUCGUGAUUUUUUAUUCACUGCUUUGCACAUGCAUUGUAAUCCUAUCGGUGUAUUCACUUUCUAGGACCACAUGGAUAUGUUUCUUCUUUUUGAUGAAUAGCCUGAGUAGGAUUUUCUUAAAUUUCUCUCAUUUUUUUGGAAACAGAAAGAGUUUUUAUGAUGAGCUUUUGGAGUGAUAUACGCAAAGACAGGACUAGUUGUCUAAGUACAUGUGAAUUUAGCUGGGUUGGCAUUUAAACCUCAAUUUUUUCUGAAAGUUCCCAUUAUAAAUAACAACAGCUACCCAGUAAAAUCCCACCAAGUGGGGUCUGGGAAAGGUAAUGUGUACACAGCCCUUACCCCUACCCCAAUAGGGCAGAGAGGUGUUUCCGAUAAACUCUCGGCUCAAAAAGACGUAAAUAAAAAAUAAGAAAAGACAAUACAUUAGUAACUCCAGUAGAAACCAUAAUAGUAACUGAAGCAUAACAACCAAAAGAUGGAUGACAUGCAAUAACAGUAAAGUAACCAGUAUCUAAGGUCCGGUGCUAAGAUAAACAGCAAGAAUAGUGUGGAUUCAACAUAAACUGCAAGCCAUCUAAGAUCAAGCCUAAUCUAAACCCGCCUCACCCCCGGUAUGAAGUAAGGAAAGUUCUACUACCCCUAACCUACAACCCUAAUGCUUGACCUCCAGGCCUUCCUGUCAAGGGUCAUGUCCUCGAAAAUCCGCAGUCGUACCAUAUCCUGUCUGAUCACAUCUCCCAAUACUUCUUCAUGUCCUCGGAAAUCUGCAGUCAUACCAUUUCCUGUCUGAUCACCUCUCCCCAAUACUUCUUAGGCCUCCCUCUACCUCUUCUCAUACUCACCAUGGCUAACCACUCACAACUACUCACCGGUGCAUCAAGCCUUCUACUCUGUACGUGCCCGAACCAUCUGAGCAUCGCUUCCCGCUUCUUGUCAUCCACAUGAGCCACGCCCACCUUCUUUCGAAUAUCUUCAUUCCUAAUCUUGUCUAUCCUAGAAUAUCCCCACAUCCACCUCAGCAUCCUCAUCUCUGCUACCUUCAUCCUCUGGAUACGGGAGUUCUUAACCGGCCAACACUCUGCCCCAUAUAACAUGGCUGGUCUAACCACAGCUCUAUAAAAACUUACCUUUGAGUGUCAGUGGCAUUUUCUUGUCACAUAAGACUCUAGAUGCAAGCCUCCAUUUCAUGCAGCCCGCCCCUAUACGGUGAGUGACGUCCUCAUCGAUUUCUCCGUCCCCUUGAAUCAUCGACCCAAGGUACUUGAAGCUAUCUCUCUUGGGAAUGACCUGUGAUCCAAGCCUCACGUCCCUUGCCUACUUCCCUCGACUAAGCGCUAAACUUGCACUCCAGAUACUCUGUCAUAGACAUCCUCAAUUUGAAACCCUUAGACUCAAGGGUCAGUCUCCAAACCUCCAAUCUCUCGUUAACACCGCCCCCCGUCUCAUCAAUUAGAACUAUGUCAUCAGCAAAUAACAUACACCAUGGCACAUCCCCUUGAAUAUGGUGUGUCAAUGCAUCCAUCACGAAGGCAAAUAAGAACGGGCUAAGCGCAGAGCCUUGGUGUAAUUCCAUAACAACCGGAAAAUGCUCCGAGUCGCCUUCCACAGUCCUAAGCUUAGUCUUAGAUCCAUCAUAUAUGUCCUUGAUCGCUCUUAUGUAGGCUACCGGCACGCCCUUUGCCUCAAGACAUCUUCAGAGCACCUCCCUAGGAAUCUUGUCAUACGCUUUCUCCAAGUCAAUAAACACCAUCUGCAGAUCCUUCUUCUUAUCCCUGUACUGUUCUCCCAACCUCCUAAUAAGAUGGAUAGCUUCCGUAGUGGAGCGACACGGCAUGAACCCAAAUUAAUUGUCGGAUAUAAACGUCCUCUUCCUCACCCUUAUUAUAAAUGUGGAACCAAUUUCCUCUGGACUUCCAAAUUUAUCAUUUAACUUAUAUGUUUGAAUGUGAAGAGUACAAGAAACAUCUUUCUCUAAGAAAGAACACACACCUCCUUUUUGGUCUUGAUAUGUGCUCUGGAUGUCUUACUAGUAAAAAAUUGAUUAGCUCUAGCUAAUUUUUCUCUGUUGGCUACUUAUGCUAUAACUUCCUAGUAACAUAUGGUGAAAAUAGUUGAUCUCCGUGAAUCAGCAGGGGCUUGCAAUCAAAAGCAAACAGGGAAACUAUUAUGUAAUUUAGAAAAAAGAACCCAGCUUUGUACCCUUAAUUUUUGAGUUUUGAGCUUCUCUCAUUGUAUGACUUGUCCUUGUAUGUGCCAGUUGUGAGAACAUCUCAUAUCAUUUUCCACUCACUUUAGGCGAACUUGCUGAAAUUCUUACUACUGUUAUGUAUCUUUUUCUUUCUUGGCAUGGGAAAGCUCAACAAACACAUCAUUUGCACAACCUUCUGGGAUUUCAUUAUCACGUGGUAAUUCUCUUAACGCGUAAUAGGUUGUUCUUAUUUACUGGUAUACUGUUUUUACCUUUUCUUUGAAACCAAUUGAUUUACUUUUUUUUGUAGAUCUAAAGGAGGCAUAUAUUGCUGAUAGUGAGAGUAGCUCCAUUCGGGCAGUUGAUCUAAGAACUGGAGGUUCAAGAUUACUGGCUGGUGGUGAUCCAAUAAUGGCCGAAAACUUGUUUAAGGUAUUUCUGUUUGAAGCCAAAAAAUGAUAUUUUGAUUCUCUAUUAUGCUUAAGUUACAUUUGUGACACAACAAAACUUGCUAAGGAAACAUUUACUGGGAAAACUUGUUUAGGGUAUUUCUGUUUGAAGCCAAAAAAAAAAUGAGAUUUUGAUUCUCUAUUAUGCUUAAGUUACAUUUGUGACCCAUAAAAACUUGCUAAAGAAACAAUUACCAGUGCAGUUUGGAGACCAUGACGGAAUAGGCUCUGAAGUUCUUCUUCAACAUCCAUUAGGUGUUUUAUGUGGAAAGUCUGGCCAAAUUUAUAUUGCAGAUUCUUAUAAUCACAAGGUACUUAAAAAACAAACUUCUUGACAGUAAAUACAAAAUUUUAUGACAUCUAUGAUGUUUUACACACUUCUCCUAGUAAUAUUAUCUUAUUUUGCUUUCACUAGUUCAGAAGAAAUUUAAUUGCUUUAUAUGUAUGUCUAUUCAAGCUUCUGGGAGAGGAAUUUUGUCAUAUAGAGCUUGGGUUUUAGUGAUCGGGACCUAUUUUAGGUUUACUAUGAGAUAAGAAUUGGUCCAAAUUUUUGUUCAUGAUCUAAGUUGUCUAACUUAUACAUGAAUGCUUUCAGGCACACUCCCCGAGGAGCCUGAGAACCCGGAAUCCUGAGUUUUUACAACACUUUUGGAGAGCCACCAUUGACGCGAGCCUAUCCCUGAAAACAGCUCCGGCAAAGUCCCUUACACGCGCCGCCAAGCUCCGGCGAGCCUCCACCAAGCGCCGGCGCGUGAGCACCGGGCCAAAUUUCAACUCUCUUCUUUUGGACAGCCUUUUCGCCCCCUUAUUCCGACCCCUUCCAUCCAUGAAGUUUUAGAUUCCGACCACUUUUCUUUAUUCCGGUGACGGGGAGUCCUUUUUUACCGGCCAGUUUUCAAACUCUUUUCAGUCAGGCCAAAAAAGAAAAUCUUUUGCAAGCUAGCAUAGAAAACAAGUCUUUCUUCAUUGCUGGUGAUAAAUCUUUUUAAGCUGGUCGAUACAGGAGAAGGAUGGUUCGUGAUAAUUGAAAGGGGCAGACGAUUCUUGGCCAAAAUCAGUUUAGACGAGAACCUUCGUCGGGUGUGUGGAGCGCUCUGGCAAGCAUCAAGAGUUGGAAGGGGAUUAUUACAGGCGAUGAGGAUGGAAGUCACAAGCAUAUGCAUACGGAGUAUUUCAAAAUUUCAACACAUAUGGCAGAUUCAUCCGAAUAGAAACGUGGUCAGGGGAUAGGAAAAAAGCAAUAAUUAUUCCUGAAUCAGUUUACAAUGGGGGAUGGGGUGACAUUGCUAAUAAGAUUUUACAUUUUCUGGAGGAGCUACCCACAAACAGAUACAGGCAGGCUUAUGCUCCUCAGAUAAGAUAUGCCGAUAUAGUAAAGAUCAAUCAGUGGCCGGAGAUCUCAGCAACGAAGGCAGGGAGCAUCACAGCAGAAGCAGCUGACCAGAAUCACCAAUUUCUCUCGCGGUGUUUGGUCGGAAUUUUCAACGACCCUUUCAACUAUAGCCCUAAUCAAGAAGUAAUUCAAAAGUGGUUCUCGAAUAGGUGGAAGAUUUUUGCUGGUCUGAGAGUCACCCCCUUCUCUCACAAUCAGUUUCUAUUUGAGUUUCCUUCAAGACAAGAAGCGGCGAGAAUACAUGCUGGUGAAUGGUUUUGGAACGAUCGUCGCCUGUCUCUUGAGUGGUGGUCACCGGCGGCAGGUACUGAUUUGGGAUGCCAGAGGUCAGAAUACAAAUGGAUCAAGGCUUUUGGUAUUCCUAUCCACGCGUGGUCACUCGAAACCUUCAAGACUAUUGGUGAUCUUUGUGGUGGUUUCGUCGGAAUAGAUGAAGACACAAAGCAUCGCAUUCACUAUUCUUGGGCGAGAAUCUGUGUUAAUAUUAGCAGGAACAAAUGCCCAGACACAAUUGAGCUUGAUGUGGAGGAUUGGAGGUUUGAGAUCUCGAUUCUAAAGGAGGUUGCUGCUACCCUAAGCCAAUUCCAAUCCGAGUCCAGUUAGAAGGGAGAAGUGCCGGAGAUGUAGGAGAGAAGAAACCGGGGAAAAUCUCGGGGAUUGUAGCAGAAGAGGAAGUACCAUCGUAUCACGUGGGGAGUCAGGUGAGAGAGGAGAACUUUAAUUCAAAUUUAUCUGGCCCCACUCCAAGUUAUUUGGACAAUAGGGCGGGGAAAAAACAUCUCCUGACCCGGUCCAGUCAAGCAAGAUGCUCAAGAGCCAAAAGUCCAUUAUUUUUGGGCCCAAUAGAAUCUCAGUCAUAUUAUUUUAAAGCUCCAAGUCUGAAGGCCCAAACAGAGGGCAAAUCAAAGAAGGCCCAUUCUGUAUGGAGAGUAAAAGACCAUUGUCCUCAAUUUCAUAUCAACAGCUCCAAAUACCACCGAUGCUCAGCUAACAGAUAAGUCACAUAAGACUCGCAUCCAUGGAGCUAGGGCAGAGUCGUCUUUGCAUGCAACCAUCAACGAAACUGAAGCGGACAACGAAGCAGAUGAUGAAGCAGAAACUUUUGCAAACAAUCUCACGAGUCUUUCAAAUCGUCUAAAUUGGUCAGAUGCUGCCUCUACAGCUCUUGUUUGUUCGGACACUGAUUCAUGCAGCGAGCCACUCUUCCUACCCUGGCAUGACGAAAAUCUCAUGCAAUCACAAGUAGUUCAUCAUCCCAACGCAAUAGAUACUUCUAGAUGGGCAAAAGAUGAUGAACNNNNNNNNNNNNACGACCUUGGCAUGACGAAAAUCUCAUGCAAUCACAAGCAGUUCAUCAUCCCAUCGCAAUAGAUACUUCUAGACGGGCAAAAUUGGUUAUGGGUAAAGCAUGCAAAGCCUUCGGGAUCAAUUCAGUUGGGUUCGAACAUGAACUCCUGGAUUUAAUCUUGAGGAUGGAUCAGAAUCGACAAACUCUAAUUCAGAAGAGAGGGUCACCUGCCUCAGCAAAUAAAAAGGGGAAAUAGAGGUGCAAAAUUUAAUUAGCUGGAUUAACUACGACGGGUGUAGUAGCAAAAGGGGCAGGCAUUGCAAGAUUGUAUCAAGAUGAAAGUUAAAAUCCUAAGUUGAACAUUCAGGGUCUCAAUAAAAGGAAAAAGAGAAGUAUUUUAGCAUCACUAGUUCGAAAAUGGAGGGCAGACAUAUUGUGCCUACAGGAAACCAAAAUGGAAAAUAUACCAACUAGUAUCAUUCAUCAUAUUUGAGGGAACGGGUGGGCUGAAUGGGUAGAGUUAAAAGCUUAUGGUACUAAAGGUGGCAUUAUCAUAUUAUGGGAUAAACGUUUGUGGAAAUGCAUUGACUCUCAUCAAGACAUCUACACAAUCACUUGUAUGUUUGAAAGCUUGCAGGAGGAUUUCAAGUGGUCUUUUACCGGAGUAUAUGGACCACAUACCAACCCUGAAAGAGAAGAUUUAUGGCAGGAAUUGGGUGCAAUAAGGGGUAUCUGGGAGGACAAAUGGGUGAUUGGAGGGGACUUUAGUGUAUGUAGAUAUGAGAUUGAAAGACUCAAUUGCUCCAUAAGAUCCACAGCUAUGAGGAAUUUCACAGAAACUAUUUUGGAUCUCCAAUUAAUUGAUCUACCACUUCAUGGAGCACAAUACACCUGGUCAAGGGGAGAAGACAUUCUACAGGCAUCGAGGAUAGACAGAUUUCUUGUUUCUGCAGAGUGGGAAGAGAGCUUCAAAGAAAUCAAGCAACUGGCUCUUCCAAAACCAAUUUCAGACCAUAGACCAUUGUUGUUGGAGUGUGGAGAAUGGGAUUCUACACAUUCCUAUUUCAAGUUUGAAAAUAUGUGAUUACAACAAGAAGGGUUCAUAGACAUGUUGAAAGGUUGGUGGCAGAGUUACACGAUAAGGGGCAGUCCGGAUUUCAUUCUCUCUCAGAAAAUGAGGAAUCUGAAAAAUGACAUCUCCAAUUGGAACAAGGAAACCUUUGGCAAGCUGGAAGUCAGGAGAAACAAAGCAUUGGAAGAACUAGUUGCAUUAGAACACAUCACAGAAAAUAGAAUCGCAAUACAAUCUGAAAAGCAGAAAAUCUGGAGUUUAAAAGUGGAGCUCGAGGAACUAGCCAAAGCUGAAGAAACAUCUUGGAGACAAAAAUCAAGGUGUCAAUGGUUAAAAGAGGGUGGCAGGAACACAAAGUACUUCCAAUCAAUUGCCAACUCUCAUAGAAGAUUCAACAAUAUCGACAAGCUCCAGGUGGAUGAUGAUUUAAUAGAAGAAAAAGCAAAAAUCAAAGAAGAGUUCUGAGCUUCUACCAGAACUUGUACACAAAGAAUGAGGGAUGGAGACCUACAACUAAUUUUGAAGGAGUUGCUACAUUUUCAGGGGAAGCCAGAGAGAUGCUAGAGAAAGUUUUUGACGAAGUCGAAGUACAUAAUGUUAUUCUUUCAUGUGCCCCAGAUAAAGCUCCAGGUCCAGAUGGCUUCACAUUGGCUUUUUUCCAAAAAUCGUGGGAGUUUAUCAAACCAGAUGUGAUGGAGGGCUCUCAACCAUUUCCAUCAGCAAUGUUACAUGGUGAGAUCAUGCAAUGCUUCUUUCAUUGCCCCGAUCCCUAAAAAGAAAAGGGCAAUUGAGCUUAAAGACUAUAGGCCAAUAAGCCUUAUUGGAAGUGUUUAUAAGAUUGUGGCCAAGUACCUAAAAAGAAAGGGGCAAUUGAGCUCAAGGACUAUAGGCCAAUAAGCCUCAUUGGAAGUGUUUAUAAGAUUGUGGCCAAGUUGCUAGCAGGAAGGCGGAAGAAGGUUAUUGGUAAACUUGUGUCCAGUCACCAGAACGCUUUAAUCAAACAUAUACAGAUCACAGAUGCAACACUUAUAGCUAAUGAGACUUUAGAUUGGAGAUUUAAAACUGAGGAUCCUGGUAUUAUGUGCAAGCUGGACAUAGAGAAGGCUUUCGACAAACUUAACUGGUCCUAUCUAAUCUCUAUACUAAGGAGGAUGGGAUUUGGAGACAAAUGGAUGAGAUGGAUCAGAUUCAGCAUCUCAACAGUGAAGUACUCAGUUUUAGUCAAUAGGGAACCAGUGGGCUUCUUCUCCCCUCAAAGAGGGAUCAGGCAGGGAGACCCACUCUCCCCUCUCAUGUUCAUUCCAGCCAUGGAGGGACUAAGCAAGAUACUUGAAAAAGCCAGAGAAAUGCAGUGGAUUCAGGGAUUCAAAGUAGGCUCCAAUAUUGGGAACUCAGUCACUGUUUCUCACCUGCUAUAUGCUGAUGAUACUUUGAUCUUCUGUGAGGCAGAUAAAUCGCAAGUUAUGUACCUGAACCUCACUCUUCUCCUCUUUGAAGCUCUGUCAGGGUUACAUGUAAAUGUGCUAAAAAGCAUAAUGUACCCUAUCAAUCAAGUGCCUAAUAUGGAGGAGCUGGCAAGCAUAAUGGGUUGCAGCAUUGGGACUUUACCUUCAACAUACUUGGGCCUACCAUUGGGUGCUAAAUUCAAAAACUAUGAGGUAUGGAAUGGGAUCAUUGAAAAAUUUGAGAAGAGACUAUUCUCCUGGCAGCUUCAAUAUAUAUCCAGUGGUGGCAGAUUAACUCUCAUCAACAGUGUGCUUGACAGCAUACCAACAUACUUCAUGUCAUUGUUUCCCAUUCCAAAGAAAGUUCUAAAGCAAUUGGAUAGAAUCAGGAGAAACUUCCUAUGCGAAGGAAAUAACAACACCCACAAAUAUCAUCUGGUAAAGUGGGACAAAGUCACUCAGCCGAAAUGCAAUGGAGGAUUGGGAGUUAGAGAUCUAGCAACCCAUAAUAAAUGCCUAUUAAUGAAGUGGCUCUGGAGAUUUGGCGGGAGAUUCAAGCCUAUGGAAGGAAGUAAUCAUUGCAAAGCAUGGGAAAAAAGAUAACUGGAGUACUAAAAGUUCUAAUGCACCUUAUGGUGUGGGUCCUUGGAAGUACAUCAGCAAAUUGGGGAGUGAAUUUUUCCGGUGCAUCUACUUCAAACCAGGCAAUGGGGCUCACAUAAGAUUCUGGAAAGAUAAAUGGCUAAACAAUUCACCACUCACGGAUGAGUUUCCUAGCCUAUAUCAGAUUUCUCUACACCAGAACUCCUCUAUAGCUCAAAACAGAAAUGAUAGCAACUGGGAUGUUCACUUUAUAAGAGCAGUGCAAGACUGGGAAAUUGACAGCCUAUUUGAUUUGCUAGCAAAAGUGGAGGGGUAUACUAUUGAUGUGAGCCAACCAGAUACCAUAUGCUGGGGAAGCAAGGGCACCUUCACAGUAAAAGAAUGCUACAGGGAAACUGAUUCCCAGAACCAGGUGUUAGAUGCUUGGCCCUGGAAGUUAAUAUGGAAGACCAAACUGCCUAUCAAAGUCAUUUGCCACAGCUGGAUUGUACUUAAUGAGGCUUGCUUAACUCAAAACAACCUCAAUAGAAGAGGUUUCCAGUUGGUCAACAGGUGUUACCUAUGUCUGAGAGAUGCAGAAACUGUCAACCACCUGUUUUUGCAUUGCCCUGUGGCUUUUGACCUUUGGAAUAUGUUCCUUUGCAUUUUUGGCUUGAUUUGGGUCAUGCCACAAAAUAUGAAAGAGGCACACUUGAGCUGGAGUUUAUGGAUAGCCUUUGGAAUAUGUUCCUUUGCAUUUUUGGCUUGAUUUGGGUCAUGCCACAAAAUAUGAAAGAGGCACACUUGAGAUGGAGUCUAUGGAGAGUUGACAAGACCAUCAAAAAAGUCUGGUUGAUGAUUCCUGGUGCUAUUUUCUGGUGUCUAUGGAAGGAAAGGAAUAGAAGAUGUUUUGAUGGAAUCUCAAUUCCAAUCCACACUCUCAAAGCAAACUGCCUACUCAAUCUUUUUUGCUGGACUAAAUUAGCUUCUGUAAUUAGCACUGACCAAUUUUUGGACUUUGGCAGCUCCCUGGUCUUAGAUUGACAUAUAAAGAGAGCUACAAUUUCUAUUUCUUCUUUUUUUCUGCAUUUCAUUACUUUUGUAACUUGCAUCUCCUUGAUGCCUUUUGCUAAUGAAACACCUUAUUGCAUCAAAAAAAGAAAUGUAAUUGCUUUAUUAAUUUAAUUUUAACUAUGAUGCAUAUUUCUUUGUCAAAGUAUCUUCUCAAUCACUACUUUAAUAUAUGUUUCUAUUAUUAUCAAUAUAUGAUUCAAGUGGAGAAGACCAAACAGAUAUGCUUCUAGAAGAUAGACCUCAAAAGGAAGAAACCUUAAAUGCAAUUAUUGAUGGUAUUAUCAGAUUUGGUUGCGUAACUGCAUUCUUCAUUUCGUUUUUGGUAGGAACCCAUGAAUGUAUGUGCGAUAGUAAAAACAUACUCUUUAUUCCCCAUCUCCCUUUAAAUUACUAUUAUCCUUUCUCUCUCUCUACCAUCAUCAUAAGAUCCUUCGAUGGGUUUUGGCAUGAAUCCCAUAUGGUUUUAUUAACAAUUGUCCAUCAAAUGAAAGAAGGAAGAAAUAGGCCCUUGAGACCCCUUGCUCCUUUUUUUAGUACAUAUUCUGGAGUCUUGUUAAGUUAUUUGGACUUGUCCAAAGCUCGUCAUAUUAACUUACACCUUUUUGGUGUAAAAAAACGUUUUGGAUGGGGUGGAUAUGUGAAAAGUGGGAGAGGAGAAGAUAGAAGAGGGAAGAGCCUUUAGUGAGAUUGAAACCCAGGGGUGAAAGAUUUAGUUGCAACGACUUGUCCAUAACACUUGAUAGGAGUGUUUAAUAGCAUUUUGACUUGCACUUAAUAUCAAGGUGACAGCAUGUCAACAAUGAUACAACAUAUAAUGUAGAUUUUGGUUUCCUACUUUUGAAUAAAUAUACGAUUGAGAUGUCAAAGCCAAUAAAUAUAAGUAUGCUUAACCUAAAAUUGAGAUGUGUAAAUAAAUUUUUAUCUGCUGAAAUUGUGGUGCCUGAUGGCAGAAUGAAGAACAUAAGCGAAAUAUUAGGUUUCCAAAGUUUGUGGCCAUAUUGCUGCUUUAAGAUGGCAUAUGUGGAGCUUCUUCUUUCAAUCAGCUAGUGAGCUUGAAUUGAGAUAUUUCAUAUGCUUCUAUUUGCUGUUUCAAGUUCAAAGAAUCCAUUUUCAUAUUUCAUAUGUAACUUAUGAUACGACAAUGAACUACUUGUUUUCGUACUGUAACAGACACAUCUCUAUGUAAGUUGAAGCUUCUCUUUUUUGUUUAACUUGCCAGAUUAAGAAACUAGAUCCAGUUAGUAGAAGGGUGACUACAUUAGCUGGUGUUGGUCAAGCUGGUUUCAAAGAUGGAGCGGCAGUGGCAGCUCAGGUUGGAAAGAGUUCAUAUAUCUUUUCUUACGUAUAUUGUGUCCUAGAUACUAGUGCUACACUAAUUGGCAUUCAUUGCACCCAAGCACAUAUUAUGUUUACAUAGACACUCGAUAACAUUAGCAUGGAAUUGAGUAACUAGUAUCACCGCAUACACCAUAUUAUUUCUCCAAAAUGAUGGACAUAAUAAGCUUCUGGCAGGUGAGCGUUUUAAAUAUUUAGCAUUUUACUUGGUAAAUCUGUGGUUGCAUGUGUAAAUAACCUCUUUAGUUAUAAGGCCCUCUUUUUGUCAAAAAAGAAGAUAUUAUAAGGCCCUUGUACAAGUGCGACAUCCCUUCACCCCUUUUUCUGCCUUAGAUUUCAUAAGAAUCGGCAGUAGCAUGUGGAUCUAUUGUCUUUGGCACAGAUGCUGAUAUUUCUGUUCUUUUUCCUCAUCUUUUUCUUUUCUUAUUUUCAAGUGGAGUAGUGGACUUGUAUCCAAUGCGUAAGGAGCAAGGAAAAGAAGAAACAAAAGACAUUUGUCUUGGACCAUUGCGCUGUUUGACAUGAUCGAAACACUUUAGUAAGACCUAAGAGUGCCGUUAGGUAAUCCAGCAAGGAUAACUGUAUCAGAUACCUGUUCACUUAGGUCUCUGAAAGUUUUGGACAUUUUAUAAAGUAUCCAAGUUUUUAGAUGCCCGGAAAAACUUUAAGAUGUUCUGUACAAAAAAUAAGUGUGAGAAUGCACGGGAGAGAAAUAUUAUUAUUGAAAUUUGUUACUCAAUAUAAUACAAGAGGUCCUAUUUAUAGCUGUAGUCGACAAAGUACAUAUUACUCGCACUCCAAUGUGGGACUAUACAUAGCUAACACUCUUUCUCUAGCCGAUGCAUGCACAUCAUAUGUACCAAGCUUGUUACACAUGUAACUAAUACGAGACCAGUAAGAGACUUAGUGAAAAUAUCUGCUAGUUGAUCAUUCGACUUUACAAACUUUGUAACAAUAUCUCCUGAAAGUAUUUUUUCUCUAACGUGGUGACAGUCGAUCUCAAUGUGUUUAGUCCAUUCAUGGAACACCGAAUUUAACCCAAUAUGAAGAGCAGCUUGGUUAUCAAAUACCAGUUCCAUCUUACUGAUUUCUCUGAACUUUUAACUCCUUGAGCAAUUGCUUGACCCAAACUAACUCAUACGUUGCCAUAGCCAUGGCCCGAUAUUUGGCUUCGGUGCUAGAUCGAGCAACUACGUCAUGUUUCUUGCUCUUCCAAGAGAUCAAAUUACCUCCUACUAGAACAAAAUAUCCAAACUCAGAACGUCUAUCAAGUGAUCCUGCCCAAUUACCAUCUGUGUACCCAACAAUCUGCCCAUGCCCUCGAUCCUCAAAUAGUAAUCCUUUACUUGGAACUAACUUUAUAUAUCGAAAAAUGCGAACAAUUGCAUCCCAGUGACUAUCUCAUGGAGAAUCCAACACUGACUUACAGUACUCACUAGAAAAGAAAUGUCAGGUCUAGUCACUAUGAGGUAAUUCAAUUUGCCAACCUACGUCCUAUAUCUCGUGGGGUCUCUAUGAGGCCCGCCCUCUCCUGGCAGAAGCUUAGCAUUCGGAUCCACUGGAGAGUCAAUAGAUAUGCAACCCAUUAUUCCAAUCUCCUCAAGAAUGUCUAAGGCAUACUUGUGCUAUGAAAUAGCAAUUCCUAAGCUAGACUGAGCGAUCUCAAUACCUACAAAAUACUUCAAUCUGCCCAGAUCCUUAGUCUGGAAGUAUUGAAAGAGAUGCUGCUUUAGAUUAGUAAUACCAUCCUGAUCAUUGCCAGUAAUAACAAUAUCAUCAACAUAAACCACCAAAUGAACACACAGAUUAGGAGCAUAAUACCGAUAAAACACAGAGUGAUCAGCCUCACUAUGAGUCAUGCCGGACUUCUGAAUAGUUGUGCUGGAUUUACCAAACCAAGCUCGAUGGGACUGCUUCAAACCAUAUAAUGACCAGCACAAUCUGCAUACACAACCACUAAACUCUAAUUGAGCAACAAAACUAGGUGGUUGCUUCGUAUAAACUUCCUCCUCAAGAUCACCGUGGAGAUCUAACUGAUAGAGAGGCCAAUGACGAGCCAUGGACAAAAAGAGGCGAACAAUGCUACUUUUGCCACGGGAGAGAUAGUAUCACUAUAAGCAGGCUUAAAAAUCUGAGUAUAUCCUUUUGCAACAAGACGAGCUUUAAGCCGAUCAACCUGGCUAUCCGGGCCGACUUUGACCGCAUAAACCCAAGGACAACCAAUAGUAGACAUACUUGCAGGAAGAGGAACAAGCUCCCAAGUGCCACUCGCAUGUAAACCAGACAUCUCGUCAAUCAUAACUUGUCGCCAUUUUCGAUGAGAUAAUGCCUCUUGUAGAUUUAGGGAUAGAAACAAUAGACAAAGAAGAUAUAAAAGCAUAAUGAGGUGACGACGGACGAUGAUAACUUAAACCGACAUAGUGGGGAUUAGGAUUAAGUGUGGAUCGUACACCUUUGCAGAGUGUAAUUGGUUGACUAAAAAGAGACAAGCCCGCAGUCAGUGCUGAAUCUGAGGCAGGGCGUGAAUCACCUGGGCCUGAUGCUGGAUGUGGACGACAAUGAUAAGUCAAGAGAGGGUGGAGCUGCAGAAGGUUGAACUGGAUUAUGUGAAGGAGCUAGAGCUAUAGAUGGUGGAGCUACAACUGGAGCUGUAGGUGCCAAGUGGUAGUACUGGAGAUGUAAAGGAAGAUGAAUGGUAGAUAGUGACUGAAUCUCCAAAAGAUGAAACUGGUAGUACCUCAUAAAUAUCUAAGUGAUUACCUGAACAUGUGAAGUAUGAUUGGGUUUCAAAGAAGGUAACACAUCGGACAUAAGGUACCGCCGGAGGUUAGGAGAAUAGCAUCGAUACCAUUUUGUGUUCUCGAGUAACCCAGAAAUACGCACUUAAGAGCUGGAGGAGCUAACUUAUCUGUUCUUGGACUAAGGCUAUGAACAAAACAAGUGCUUCCAAAGAUACAAGGUGGAAGAGAGAACAAAGAUAAGUGGGAAAACAUGACAGAGAAUGGAACUUGGUUAUGGAUAGCUGAAGAUGACAUAGGAUUAAUAAGCUAGCACGAUGUAAGAACUGCAUCUCCCCAAAAUUGCAACAGAGCAUGAGAUUGUAUGAGUAGGGUACGAGCAGUUUCAAUAAGAUGUCUAUUCUUUCUUUCAGCUAUCCCGUUUUGUUGAGAUGUGUACGGACUAUGAUAAGAAUGGACCUUGGACCUAACUCAACCCCAAAAGCUAGCUUAUGAGGUGAGGAUUCCCCAAGCCAUAUAAGGAGACCAAGGACCUCAAAUCCCUCCGAUGUGGGACAACUCAACAGUCCAGAUGUUUGAUAAAUAAUCCUAUGCGAUUCCAUAAACUGUUGAAAUGGGGAAGCCAAAUACUCUCAUUCAUUAUCACUACAAAAUGUACGAAUAGAAACCCCCAAACUGGUUUUGAAUUUCAGCGUGUAAGGUCUUAAAAAUAGAAAACAACUCGGAUCAUUUUUUAUCAAAAAAAUCCAAGUGCACCUGGAAUAAUCAUCAAUGAAACUGACAAAGUAGCGGAAUCCCAAGAGGGAACUGUCUCAACUAGGAUCCUAAACAUCUGAAUGGACUUAAGUAAAAGGUGACCCUGCUCGAUUAUCAAGACGCCGAGGAAAAUGGUAGCGAGUAUGCUUACCUAGCUAAUAGGACUCACACUCUAGAGCUGACAAGUGAAAUAAACCAGGUACCAUUUUUUGAAGUUUUGAUAAACUAGGAUGUUCCAACUGUUUAUAUAAUAAAUCUGGUGAAUUAGUAACAGGACAAGAUGUGAGUCUAUGUGAUUUAGCAAGGAUAAGAUACAACAACAACAACUACCCAGUAUACUCCCACCAGGUGGGGUCUGGGGAGGGUAAUAUAUGAGCCAACUGAUCUAAACAUUUACAGAACUGCACCAGAACAACUGUGAGCCCGAAAUAGAGAGAGACCAGAUCAAUCACAAUUAUAGCAACGAACAAAUACUCGCAGAAAAAUUUAAACAAUUUAUUCAACAAAUUUAAAUGAGUACAUAAAUAAAGAGAAAUUACGUAUGCGGUGCGGGAGAUGGAGUAAUCAAUCUUAUCAGUGAUAAACAACAACAAACAAAAGAGCAUUAGUAACUCCAGCAGAAGUAGCGUAAAUAAUUAUCUAAACAUAAGAAACAUAGAUAAAAUAGCAUGCACUAAUAUCAUUCAGUAACUACUAUAAAUAACUACCAUAAGGGAGACACAAGCUAAAACACAAAUCAUCUAUGGAUAGCCCUACCAAGCCUCACCCAACCCUGGGUGAGGUACGAAAAACUCUAGGAGGCCCUAUCCUACAACCCUGAUACUAGACCUCCAGACGUUCCUAUCAAGGGUCAUGUCCU
rnacentral:lncRNA from 1 species